UACGUAGGGUGCAGGCGUUAAUCGGAAUACUGGGCGUAAAGCGUGCGCAGGCGGUCUACUAAGACAGGUGUGAAAUCCCCGGGCUUAACCUGGGAACUGCGCUUGUAACUGGUAGGCUUGAGUGUGGCAGAGGGGGGUGGAAUUCCAGGUGUAGCAGUGAAAUGCGUAGAUAUCUGGAGGAACACCGAUGGCGAAGGCAGCCCCCUGGGCUAACACUGACGCUCAUGCACGAAAGCGUGGGGAGCAAACAGG
rnacentral:rRNA from 1 species